rnacentral:sRNA from 1 species
GAAAAGAAAAAGAUGGACUCCUUGUAAUGAAACAGACAUGGUCCGGCGAGGAGAGAUCAUCGACAAUGACACCGAGGAGGAGUUCUACCUCCGGCGCCUGGAUGCGGGGCUCUUUGUUCUCCAGCACAUCUGCUACAUCAUGGCCGAGAUCUGCAAUGCCAAUGUCCCCCAGAUUCGCCAGAGGGUUCACCAGAUCCUAAACAUGCGAGGAAGCUCCAUCAAAAUUGUCAGGCAUAUCAUCAAGGAGUAUGCAGAGAACAUCGGGGACGGCCGGAGCCCGGAGUUCCGGGAGAACGAGCAAAAGCGCAUCCUGGGCUUGCUGGAGAACUUCUAGAGGCACCUUGGCCCUGCGCAUCGUGGACUCAGCUUCCCUCCCAGCAUCAGUUUCUACACAACUCUGUGUGGCUUUUGGACAAAUUAAAGCUAGUUUUGGUACCCCCGGGCCA